UACGUAGGGUGCGAGCGUUAAUCGGAAUUACUGGGCGUAAAGCGCGCGUAGGUGGUUCAGUAAGUUGGAUGUGAAAUCCCCGGGCUCAACCUGGGAACUGCAUUUGUGACUGCAAGGCUAGAGUACGGUAGAGGGGGAUGGAAUUCCGCGUGUAGCAGUGAAAUGCGUAGAUAUGCGGAGGAACACCGAUGGCGAAGGCAAUCCCCUGGACCUGUACUGACGCUCAUGCACGAAAGCGUGGGGAGCAAACAGG
rnacentral:rRNA from 1 species